GACGAACGCUGGCGGCGUGCUUAACACAUGCAAGUCGAACGGAAAGGCCCUGCUUUUGUGGGGUGCUCGAGUGGCGAACGGGUGAGUAACACGUGAGUAACCUGCCCUUGACUUUGGGAUAACUUCAGGAAACUGGGGCUAAUACCGGAUAGGAGCUCCUGCUGCAUGGUGGGGGUUGGAAAGUUUCUGCGGUUGGGGAUGGACUCGCGGCUUAUCAGCUUGUUGGUGGGGUAGUGGCUUACCAAGGCUUUGACGGGUAGCCGGCCUGAGAGGGUGACCGGCCACAGUGGGACUGAGAUACGGCCCAGACUCCUACGGGAGGCAGCAGUGGGGAAUAUUGCACAAUGGGCGGAAGCCUGAGGCAGCAACGCCGCGUGCGGGAUGACGGCCUUCGGGUUGUAAACCGCUUUCGCCUGUGACGAAGCGUGAGUGACGGUAAUGGGUAAAGAAGCACCGGCUAACUACGUG
rnacentral:rRNA from 1 species